ACGGGUGCGUAACGCGUGGGAAUCUGCCCUUGGGUUCGGAAUAACAGUUAGAAAUGACUGCUAAUACCGGAUGAUGUCUUCGGACCAAAGAUUUAUCGCCCAAGGAUGAGCCCGCGUAAGAUUAGCUAGUUGGUGGGGUAAUGGCCCACCAAGGCGACGAUCUUUAGCUGGUCUGAGAGGAUGAUCAGCCACACUGGGACUGAGACACGGCCCAGACUCCUACGGGAGGCAGCAGUGGGGAAUAUUGGACAAUGGGCGAAAGCCUGAUCCAGCAAUGCCGCGUGAGUGAUGAAUGCCUUAGGGUUGUAAAGCUCUUUUACCAGGGAUGAUAAUGACAGUACCUGGAGAAUAAGCUCCGGCUAACACCGUGCCAGCAGCCGCGGUAAUACGGAGGGAGCUAGCGUUGUUCGGAAUUACUGGGCGUAAAGCGUACGUAGGCGGUUAUUCAAGUCAGAGGUGAAAGCCCGGGGCUCAACCCCGGAACGGCCUUUGAAACUAGAUAGCUAGAGUCUUGGAGAGGUUAGUGGAAUUCCGAGUGUAGAGGUGAAAUUCGUAGA
rnacentral:rRNA from 1 species